GACGAACGCUGGCGGCGUGCUUAACACAUGCAAGUCGUACGGUAAGGCCCUUUCGGGGGUACACGAGUGGCGAACGGGUUAGUAACACGUGAGUAACCUGCCCACAACUUUGGGAUAACGCUAGGAAACUGGUGCUAAUACUGGAUAUGUGCUCCUGCUGCAUGGUGGGGGUUGGAAAGCUCCGGCGGUUGUGGAUGGACUCGCGGCCUAUCUGCUUGUUGGUGGGGUAGUGGCCUACCAAGGCGGCGACGGGUAGCCGGCCUGAGAGGGUGACCGGCCACACUGGGACUGAGAGACGGCCCAGACUCCUACGGGAGGCAGCAGUGGGGAAUAUUGCACAAUGGGCGCAAGCCUGAUGCAGCAACGCCGCGUGCGGGAUGACGGCCUUCGGGUUGUAAACCGCUUUCAGCAGGGACGAAGCUUUUUGUGACGGUACCUGCAGAAGAAGCACCGGCUAACUACGUG
rnacentral:rRNA from 1 species